rnacentral:rRNA from 1 species
UACAGAGGUCCCAAGCGUUGUUCGGAUUCACUGGGCGUAAAGGGUGCGUAGGCGGUCGGGUAAGUCUGAUGUGAAAUCUCACAGCUUAACUGUGAAACUGCAUUGGAUACUAUCCGGCUCGAGGAAUGGAGGGGAGACUGGAAUACUUGGUGUAGCAGUGAAAUGCGUAGAGAUCCGGAGGAACACCAACGGCGUAGGCAGCGCCCUAGACGAGACCUGACGCUCAGGCACGAAAGCGCGGGGAGCGAACAGG